CUCUGGGGAAAAUGUCUACUUAUUCUGUCUCUGUUUGUUUUUUGUUUUUUUAAUUUAUACUUUCCUUCUGCCUGGGAUGUUUUUACUGCCAGCAAAUGCCAGAAAAUUCUUGGGAAAAAUGCAGCACUCUGGGAAUAUGAAGUUUAUAAAUUUAAAGAAAUUGGACAGCUUAAGGCUAUUAGUCCUUAUUUGCCAAGAGGUGAUCCAGUUCUGAAACCACUCAUCUAUGAAAUGAUCUUACAUGAAUUUUUGGAGAGUGAUUAUGAGGGUUUUGCCACAUUGAUCCGAGAAUGGCCUGGAGAUCUGUAUAAUAAUUCAGUCAUAGUUCAAGCAGUUCGGGAUCAUUU
rnacentral:sRNA from 1 species